rnacentral:rRNA from 1 species
GAUGAACGCUGGCGGCGUGCCUAAUACAUGCAAGUCGAGCGAACGGACGCGACUCUUGCUUUUCUGAUGUUAGCGGCGCACGGGUGAGUAACGCGUGGAUCCCCUACCUAUAAUACUGGUAUCUCUUCGGGACACCGGCGCUAAUACCGGAUAAUCUUUUGCACCGCAUGGUUCGAAAGUGAAAGACGGUCUUGCUGUCACUUCUAGAUGGUUCCGCGCUGCAUUAGCUAGUUGGUAAGGUAACGGCCUACCACGGCAACGAGGCAUAUACGACCGGAGAGGGGGGUCGGCCACCCUAGAACGGGGACACGCUCAAGAGUCCUACGAGAGGCAGCAGUCGGGAACCGGCGGCAAUAGGCGAAAGCCUGACGCAGCAACGCCGCGUGAGUGAUGAAGGUCUUCGGAGCGUAAUACUCUGUUAUGAGGGAAGAACAGAUGUGGAAGGAACUGUGGACAUCUUGACGGUAACGAAUAAGAAAGCAACGGCUAACUACGUG